rnacentral:rRNA from 8 species
UGACCUCGGAUCAGGUAGGAAUACCCGCUGAACUUAAGCAUAUCAAUAAGCGGAGGAAAAGAAACCAACAGGGAUUGCCUCAGUAACGGCGAGUGAAGCGGCAACAGCUCAAAUUU